GAAUCCGUCAGGAUGAACGCUGGCGGCGUGCCUAAUACAUGCAAGUCGAGCGAACGGACGAGAAGCUUGCUUCUCUGAUGUUAGCGGCGGACGGGUGAGUAACACGUGGAUAACCUACCUAUAAGACUGGGAUAACUUCGGGAAACCGGAGCUAAUACCGGAUAAUAUUUUGAACCGCAUGGUUCAAAAGUGAAAGACGGUCUUGCUGUCACUUAUAGAUGGAUCCGCGCUGCAUUAGCUAGUUGGUAAGGUAACGGCUUACCAAGGCAACGAUGCAUAGCCGACCUGAGAGGGUGAUCGGCCACACUGGAACUGAGACACGGUCCAGACUCCUACGGGAGGCAGCAGUAGGGAAUCUUCCGCAAUGGGCGAAAGCCUGACGGAGCAACGCCGCGUGAGUGAUGAAGGUCUUCGGAUCGUAAAACUCUGUUAUUAGGGAAGAACAUAUGUGUAAGUAACUGUGCACAUCUUGACGGUACCUAAUCAGAAAGCCACGGCUAACUACGUGCCAGCAGCCGCGGUAAUACGUAGGUGGCAAGCGUUAUCCGGAAUUAUUGGGCGUAAAGCGCGCGUAGGCGGUUUUUUAAGUCUGAUGUGAAAGCCCACGGCUCAACCGUGGAGGGUCAUUGGAAACUGGAAAACUUGAGUGCAGAAGAGGAAAGUGGAAUUCCAUGUGUAGCGGUGAAAUGCGCAGAGAUAUGGAGGAACACCAGUGGCGAAGGCGACUUUCUGGUCUGUAACUGACGCUGA
rnacentral:rRNA from 1 species